rnacentral:rRNA from 1 species
GUAGUCCACGCCCUAAACGAUGUCAACUAGUUGUUGGGGAAAGCAUUCCUUGGUAACGAAGCUUACGCAUGAAGUUGACCGCCUGGGGAGUACGGUCGCAAGAUUAAAACUCAAAGGAAUUGACGGGGACCCGCACAAGCGGUGGAUGAUGUGGAUUAAUUCGAUGCAACGCGAAAAACCUUACCUACCCUUGACAUGUACCGAACCUAGCUGAGAGGCUGGGGUGCCUGAGAGGGAGCGGUAACACAGGUGCUGCAUGGCUGUCGUCAGCUCGUGUCGUGAGAUGUUGGGUUAAGUCCCGCAACGAGCGCAACCCUUAUCAUUAGUUGCUACGCAAGGGCACUCUAAUGAGACUGCCGGUGACAAACCGGAGGAAGGUGGGGAUGACGUCAGGUCAUCAUGGCCCUUAUGGGUAGGGCUACACACGUCAUACAAUGGCUGGUACAAAGGGUUGCCAACCCGCGAGGGGGAGCUAAUCCCAUAAAACCAGUCGUAGUCCGGAUCGCAGUCUGCAACUCGACUGCGUGAAGUCGGAAUCGCUAGUAAUCGUGGAUCAGAAUGUCACGGUGAAUACGUUCCCGGGUCUUGUACACACCGCCCGUCACACCAUGGGAGCGGGUUCUGCCAGAAGUAGUUAGCCUAACCGCAAGGAGGGCGAUUACCACGGCAGGGUUCGUGACUGGGGUG